GAUGAACGCUGGCGGCGUGCCUAAUACAUGCAAGUCGAGCGAAGCGGGGACGGGUGAGUAACACGUGGAUAACCUCCUAUAAGACUGGGAUAACUUCGGGAAACCGGAGCUAAACCGGAUACUUACAGUUGGAUCCUCGCUGCAUUAGCUAGUUGGUAAGGUAACGGCUUACCAGGGCAACGUUGCAUAGCCGACCUGAGAGGGUGAUCAGCCACACUGGAACUGAGACACGGUCCAGACUCCUACGGGAGGCAGCAGUGGGGAAUCUUCCGCAAUGGGCGAAAGCCUGACGGAGCAACGCCGCGUGGGUGAUGAAGGUCUUCGGGUCGUAAAGCUCUGUUAUUAGGGAGGCGGUACCUAAUCAGAAAGCCACGGCUAACUACGUGCCAGCAGCCGCGGUAAUAC
rnacentral:rRNA from 1 species